AAGAGAAUCUUCCUCAAUUCUAUUUUAGUUAUAGAUUCUUUAUCUAUAAAAGCUACUCAUUAAUCUUACAUACUGGGUGAGGGUGUGGUCCAGAGACGGAACUAAAAAUUCCUUGUCUUCCGAGAAUGUGUACCUUUUCGAAAAAAAAAAAAAGUUAGUGGGAACGAUUCUAGGACAUAUCCAAUCAGGAAACAAACAGUGAGAGGUAGGCAGGCACAACUGGUGUGCCAGGUUCUCUAACCUUCUGCUGAGCUGAAACCCACUUGUUUUGUGGAAAAUGUCUAAAAUGAAGAAUCCCCGGACUUUUGAGGAGCAAACAGAAUGUAUCAUGAAUGCUCUACUCACAGACUUUUUGACCCCAACAUUACAGGUUGCUAACCGGAACCUACCAGAGGCAGAUGAACCAUAUUCAGGAGAGGCUUGCUCUUUUGAUGUGUCUAUUAUUGCUGGCCGCCUUCGAAUGCUGGGUGACGAGUUCAAUGGAGAAUUGGAAGCUUCUGCCAAUAAUGUCAUUGCAGAAACCAUUCAAGGACAGGCAGGAACUAUACUCAAGGACACAGUACAGUCUCUCAGCGUGGCCUGGUGUGCUCAGAACCCCACCCUAGCUUUUGAAAGAGCCUUUCUGGCAGUGUCUGUGAAACUUCUUGAAUAUGUGGUCCAUAAGGCUCCUGAGAUGGCAAGACAGGUGGCUAACUUCAUGACGGGCAUGAUCAAUGAGAACACGGCCAUCCGAGAAUUUAUCCAUGGCCAGGGAGGAUGGCCAAUGAUCCAUAUGAUUGGAAAACUCAAAUCCACCAUUCACUGAAAAAGAGAAGAAGAACUGCUCUCAGGCUGGUGGGGGUGGAAUCAAUGCAGCCUGGACAGAAUGAUUUUCCCUUCCAUCCAACACUGACCAGGGAGUCCUUUUUGGAAGAUCAAAUACAGCCACUGAAAAUAUUUCCUUUGUCACCCGGUAGGCCCCAGAUAUUAGAAAAGAGCUAUAAGAGUUAAAAAAGUAAAAGGUCUAAGUAGGUUCCAGUUGCUGGAGGUAGCUUAAAUGGUGUUUAACAGCAGAGAACUGAUUAGGACAAGACCUUUUGCCUAACACCAUCACCUUCUCUGAUGAUGGCAUGCAGUUAGACUUACAGAUACCCAGCAACAUUUGGUGCCUUGCCCUCUGUUGAAAGCAUAUCUCCUUUCUGAAAGUCCUAAGGCACUAGAUGCUGACCUCCUGCCCUUCCAUCAGAGGUUUCCUGGGAAAACAGAUUAUAAAAAGGCCACUGAGGGACUGCUGCAAGAGUUACAGACCCUGGGCUACAGAACGUCAGCUAAGAAAGUCCAACUUUGUACAUCAGAGGCUGCCUUACCAGCUGAGAGGAGGCAAAGGGGGCCUGUCUCAGAGUAGGAUUGCUGCCAUCCUUCAGACCCCAACUCCAAAGACUUAAGAGGAAGGUUUGAGAGUUCCUAGUGCAGCAGGAUAUUGCUGCCUCUGGACACCAGAGUUUGUAGACUAGUAAGGCCUCUAUACACCAGCACAAAGUAGAGCAGCGAGCCCCUCCUGGACCGAGACUAAACAAAAGGCUUUGAGGCUUUAAAAGCAGCUCUGACUUGAGCUUCAGCCCCUGCACUUCCAGAUGCCUCCAAACCUUUUCAUCUGUUUGUCCACGAAAGAAAAGACAUUACAAAAGUAGUUUUAACCCAAACUUUGGGACUGUGGAAACAUCCUGUGACAUAUCUCCCUGUAGCCACAGGAUGGCCCACUUACCUAAGAACUGUGGGGGCUACUGCUAGUCUAAUGAAAAAAAAAAUAAAACAAAAAACAAGUUAACUCUGGGUCAAGAUCUUAUAGACACCAUGCCAUUGAGGCCCUCCUCUGGGGAACACCAGAACACUGCCUGUGUGACCCAGUACCAGGCGCUCCUCCUGAACCACGAUUGAGUCCAGUUUGAGAAACCUACCACAAUCAGUCCUGCUGUCCUCUUGCAUGAAGAUGACCUACAAGUGCUCAUCCAUGACUGUCAUGAGAUGGAAGAUGAGAUCAGGUACAUGGGAGCCACAGUAGUUACUUUAACUGAAACUAUUGGGGCCCAAGCCAGGGACCUGAGCCUAGAGCUCAGAACUGAUUGAUCUGACCCAGCUCAGGAGGGAAAAAGGAGAGUCCACCACCAUACACACACAGUCAUCAUGCUUUUAUUACUGUACAUGUCCACACUAUGAUCAAUAGAGAAAGAGGGCUUCCCACCACUGGGGGAAAGGACAUUAAAAACAAAGAGAAAAUACUGGCCCUCCUAGAGGCUGUUUGGCUUUCCCUACAUAUUGCUAUUCUCCACUGGUCCACUUCAAGGACAUCAAAAAGAUGAUUUCCCUGAGGCAAGAGGUAACAGGGCAACUGACAUGGCCGCCUGACAAAAGGCCCUAAGACCAGUGGGGCCUAUUGAUAUUCUGAUGACAUACCCCAACCUGGCGCAGCCUGAGACUCCAUGGUACAACUAAGAGGAAGGAAUGGACAGUUGAACCCACAGGUUGGUGAAGGAUGCUGAAGGGAAAGAUCAUUCUCCUAAAAAUGACUGGAAGGACUCUGGGAACUGACCUUCACUAGGCUGCUCAUCUGGGGUCCACAAAACCUUCUGAGUGGCUCAGACCAAGGGACUCAGACUCAGAAGAUAGUGGUGAAAUGGUGCAGGAAAGAGUUCUGAAAAAAAGUAAGUAGGUGUGAUGGCUUUAUUUUUAUUGGUGAAAAUUGGGGGUACAGGUAAAAACAACACAAGAGGUGGUGGUGGAAUGGAACAGUCUGUGGGUGAUGUGGUUAGGUAGUGUUGGGUGAGGCCAGUCGAUGAAGAGGGCAGCUGAUACUGACAAGCUAAGCAAUCUAGAUUUGUUCCCAUAGCUUACUCAUUUUUUUCAUUCUUUAAUAAAGAUUGUGUGUGUGGUGCAUGCACAUGCAUGCAUUCAUGCACAGAAGAUGACCUCAGGCAUACUCUUCUAUCACCUUCCACGCCAUUCUUUGAGACAGGGUCUCUCACUAAACCUGGAGCUCACCAACUCAGCUAGACUAGCUGGCAGGUAAGUACUAGGGAUCCCUCUGUCUGUCCCACCUCCCCAGUGCUAGGAUUACAGGCACAGAUCACAGCAUCCAGCUUUUAUAUGGGUGCUGGAGAUCCAAACACAGGCCCUCAUGUCUGUGCAGCAAGCACUUUACCAGCACAAUAAGUCGUCUCCUCGGCCCUGUAUUUUGGUUCUGUACCAUUAAAACAACAUUUCAACCAUUUCAAUCUGGCAUUUACUGCUACGUGCUAGAAUGGGAGAGAGAUACAGGCAAGAAGAUAAUCUAAGAAUUCAUCAGUGCAAGAGAAUGGAUUAGAAACUGGGAAUGGUUGUUAACACAGAAAUAAAAAAAAAAAGACAUUAA